GUGUUUCCUGCAAUACUAGGUCGGAAUCGUUAUCAGACUGUAUUUUUGAUCACAUUUUGGUGCCUUAAAAUUGCUCUUUGUUUGCCGGGUGUACGAGAAAACAAUUCUCUUUCACUCCGGCGAGAUUGCACAAAAGUGCGUGGCAAGAGAAGAGUGAAAAUCAGAAGAGAAAUCCUGAUCAAGCAAGCCGUGUGUGGUAGGUGUGAAAAAUGCAAUUAUCUUUCGUUUCUCCUCAGUGAUGACCAACCCUGCCUGUGAGAACUAUAAUUAUUAAGAGCUUAGAAAAUGCGGUAGAAGUUCUUAGAACACUUUGCUGAGAGACGACCUUUAUUCCAGUUGGACCUGCAUGUCCAAAAGAAGAAGAAACAUAAGUUUCUCCUUGGUCUGAGCUACAGAUGUAUGUGCAGUGCAUAGUUCUUUUGUUCCUUUGAGAGGUAGCGAGCAGAGCGAUUCCCAUCCUAAUGCACCAGCAACAACCAACGACAGGAGAAAACAACGGUGAAAAGACCUGUAUAGUCGCGUCUAUGUCUGGAUCUGGCUGGGGGUCUUGGCGGAAUGAAGUAGACACGUAAAACAUCCAUCCCCAGGAAGACGCGCAGCCGGGUGGGUAAGAGUUGCAGGCAAACCAUUUUCCUGGCCGUUGGAGGUUAAUGGAUCGUGCAUUACGACGACUACGGAACGAACGAACAAACGUAACACCAGAAGGUGCACGGUGUCUUCAUUAUUGCUGUUUGCUGCUGCUACAUACCUACCUAGUGUGAUCCCUUUCUUCGAUGGCGCGUAUCGGUGCAAAUUGGCACCACCAGCGAUGGAAGGGCAAAUAUACGUUCCUUGAGGGAUAGCUCAAAUUGAAUGGAAAUAAAAGCCUGUUGAUGACUAACAAGCAUCAAUACUGGAUAAUUGAUGAUUUGCCUGUAAUUUGCCCAUUAGGACGGUGUGAAAUUGAUUGAAAAAUUGAUCUUUAUGUUUCUUUUUGCCUUUCUCGUACACCAAGGUGUACCGAAAAGCUAUAUGUUCACUCCAAAAACGAAAAUUUUAUAGAGCCCUCGGAGGGGUCAAGUCUUAUAUACCAAUCGACUCAGCUCGACGAGUUGAGAUGAUGUCUGUGUGUGUGUAUGUGUGUGUGUGUGUGUUUAUGUAUGUGUGUGCGUAUGUGCGUGUGUGUGUGUAUGUGUACAAAAAGGUCACCUCGUUUUUAGAUAGUAAAUAUCAACCGAUUUCAACGACCGAUGGUUCAUUCGACGCGGUAUAUAGUCCCAUUGUUUCCUAUUGAAAAUGGUUCAGAUCGGUUCAGCCGUUCCGGAGUUAUGGCCAUUUAGGUGUUCCGGAUCGGCACCCCAGGAAGGGGCCAGAUAUAAAAACGCUGCAAACCCAUGCAUGCGACACAUCAAACCACGGAAUUUUAAAUAACCUGAUGAACGGUAAGCAGGAAAAUAGUCUCAGACCAUAUCGGAACCGGUUGUGUUCCGGAACCGGUUCCGGGUGCUCCGCCGGAAGUGGCUAAAUAUAAAAGUGAACCAAACCCAUGCAUGCGACACAUCAAACAGUGGCUUUUUCGAUAACCUGAUGAACAGUAGGCAGGAAAACAUUCUCAGACCAUAUCUGAACCGGUAGUGUUACGGAACCGGUUCCGGGUGUACCGCCGGAAGUGGCCAAAUAUAAAAGUGAACCAAACCCAUGCAUGCGACACAUCAAACAGUGGCUUGUUCGAUAACCUGAUGAACAGUAAGCAGGAAAACAUUCUCAGACCAUAUCUGAACCGGUAGCGUUACGGAACCGGUUCCCGGUGUUCCGCCGGAAGUGGCCAAAUAUAAAAGUGAACCAAACCCAUGCAUGCGACACAUCAAACAGUGGCUUUUUCGAUAACCUUAUGAACAGUAGGUGGGAAAACAUUCUCAGACCAUAUCUGAACCGGUAGUGUUCCGGAACCGGUUCCGGGUGUUCCUCCGGAAGUGGCCAAAUAUAAAAGUGAACCAAAUCCAUGCAUGCGACACAUCAAACAGCGGCUUUUUCGAUAACCUGAUGAACAGUAGGCAGGAAAACAUUCUCAUAUCAUAUUUGAACAGGUUGUGUUACAGAACCCGUUCCAGAUGUCCUGCCGGAAGUAGCCAAGACGCAUCAAAUCGCGGCUCUUUAGGCAACCCUUUAGCAAGAAAAUAGUUUCAGACCAUAUUUGGAUCAACCGAUAGUGUUCCGGAACCAAUUCCGGGUGUUCCGCCGGAUGUAGUCAAAUGUGGAAGAGAACCAAACCCAUGCCUGCGGCACAUUCAAUAGCGACUAUUUGAAUUACUUGAUGAACGAUUAGCAAGAAAAUAAGCUCAGACCACAUCUAAGAUCUUUUUAAAGACUACCGAUAGUGUUCCGGAACCGAUCUAGGGUGUCCCGCCGAAAGUAGCCAAGUGCCAAAAGGAACCAAACCCAUGCAUGCGAUCAGAUAGAUUUUAUUGACGAGUAUCUGACCUGACAAUGCAAUGUGUCGAAUCCAUACAAGUUUGCCUGGGCUUUUAACUCGUGCGCAGAGUAAGACCCACUGCGAACUUUUGCCCCGCAUUACUCUAUGUAAACAAAAAAGAGAUUUUCACAUGAGGCGCUGAAUUUCGUUAAGGGCUACUUGUGUCACUUACCUUUAGGAUGAUUUGUGAAAAAAUACCCGGAUUUUUCACGUUUCUGAAAUGCUCAAUGUAUUAGUUGCUACGGGAACAGCGAACUUUCCCUUCGAUUGUCUCCGUUCGUGGAUUUUGUUAGAUACGGUAUUUGGUGAAGUUACACGUGAAAUCGUUUUUGUUCGUUUGACGUUUACUCACUACCGCCAUCAAGCCAGCAGCGAGUUGUGAAAUGCAACCUGAUGCACUUGGCGAUUAUUUUUUCGUGACGAAGUUAAUGAUGAAUAUGUUCCAAAUGAUAUGUCUGUUUGUCUGUACUAAAGCAAUCUCAACCAAUCACACCAUUUCAGAUUCCUGAGGUGUCACAAUAUACAGUAGUAUAAUAUACAGUACGCAUCAACCCCGGACUAAGUUUUUUCAAUCCUCUUUUGCGUCUAAAACUAUUGGGAUUUUUUAUGGAUUUAUUGCUUGCAUUUUUUGUCAAAUUUUACAUGAAUCUUGUAACCUAUAAUAAUAAAAUAUAGCCUAAAGUGUGAAGAAAAAACUUUGUCGAAGACCGUAAAGUCAUCUGUGAUUGUGAAAGAAGUUAUAUCCUAGCUUGUAACUAUCGUCUUGAUGUUGAUCGGCCUUCAGUGAUAGUGAAGGUGCUCAUGCAGUCAACUGAAAAUUCUGAUAUUUUCCAGCUCUGUUUAUACGUUCAGCAUAAUGUCGGAAUAUGUUGCAUUAAUAGGUUUCAAUUUUUUUUCUAAAUUAUUGCUUUUCUCAAUAAAAUAUUCUCAGGAUUCAGGAACAGUUCGGAUUACGUCGACGGAAAGAUCAUGCUUCGGAAUGAUAGCCCAUGCACAGAAAUUUUCUAUGCAAAGCAAUAGUGGAAGAUUACAAGAACAGGGACCGAAUUCUACACCACACGAUAGGUAGUAGAUUGUCCGCAUCACGACGGUUUCAAACCGAACGGACUCAAUAUAUACCAAAACUUUCGUAUGAAAUUUUUGAGUUUAGCAAAGCCAUCUUGACAAGGAAACCUUAACCGAUUGAA